GAAAAUAAACUAGGUUUAAGAAAUACACUCCCACACGCUCUAACUCUCUCAUACAUCUCUGUCUGCCUCUGCUCUCCUCCCGCUCUCUUUGUCUUUCUCUCUCUCUCUCUCACUUUUGUCUCCAUCGUUAACGGAGCAUCACCGCCAUCGCACACGAGCACCACCUUCAAUCCACCAUUGGAGCAUUACCCCAGGUAUGUGCUCUCUAUAGUCUCUAUUCCCCUAAUUUCAGCCUCUAGGGUUUUCUUCUUCCGUUUGCAUACCUUCACCCAAACCGAACCCCAAAUCGACCCAUGUUAAGGUUGAGGCAUCUGUUCAUUCAUUGUCCUUGGAUAUGGAGGAUAUGGGUUGAAUUACUAGAAUGGUGGAAUGUUCACUGAGUUACACCAUAAUCUUUUUCAAAUUUGUCACACUGGGGGUUUGGGUUUAAAUUUGGGAAGCUGGAAAAGAAGAUGUGGAGGCCAUGGUUUGGUCAAUUUGGAAGGCUCAUUAACUCUGUACAUCCAGGCACUGCUUUGGGCCUAAUUCGGUUUUUCUCCACCUGUUGCUUUUCUUCUUUAAUCCACAACAUGUUGCUGAUUUCUUUGCUCUUGUGGAGACAUGCCGAUUACUUCAACAGUUUGUUCAAGAAAUGGUGCGUCUAAUCAGUCUUCCUUCUUAAUGAAACCACUUAUUAAUGUUAUUUGAUGUUAGUAAAUGCAUGUGACUUUCAUAAUGGCCCUCCUCAACAUACUUAAUGAGGCCUAAGUUGUUAAAUCAUUCUUAGUAUAGGGAGGGAUCCCCUGCUCUCCCUUGCAAAUACUCCCAAACCAAAAACCCCCCAAUUUUUUUUUAGUUUUGUACAAAAAAUAAUUCAAUUUUAAAGUUGAUAUUUUAAAGUUUUGAAAAUCAAAAUAAA